GGGUUGUGAGGUUAAGCGACUAAGCGUACACGGUGGAUGCCCUGGCAGUCAGAGGCGAUGAAGGGCGUGCUAAUCUGCGAUAAGCGCCGGUAAGGUGAUAUGAACCGUUAUAACCGGCGAUACCCGAAUGGGGAAACCCAGUGUGAUUCGUC
rnacentral:rRNA from 2 species